CUUCUUGUGGCCUCAAGAUGUC
rnacentral:miRNA from 14 species